rnacentral:rRNA from 1 species
AUUGAACGCUGGCGGCAUGCCUUACACAUGCAAGUCGAACGGCAGCAUGGGUGCUUGCACCUGAUGGCGAGUGGCGAACGGGUGAGUAAUGCAUCGGAACGUACCGGAAGUGGGGAUAACGUAGCGAAAGUUACGCUAAUACCGCAUAUUCUGUGAGCAGGAAAGCGGGGGAUCGCAAGACCUCGCGCUUCCGGAGCGGCCGAUGUCGGAUUAGCUAGUUGGCGGGGUAAAGGCCCACCAAGGCAACGAUCCGUAGCGGGUCUGAGAGGAUGAUCCGCCACACUGGGACUGAGACACGGCCCAGACUCCUACGGGAGGCAGCAGUGGGGAAUUUUGGACAAUGGGCGCAAGCCUGAUCCAGCCAUGCCGCGUGAGUGAAGAAGGCCUUCGGGUUGUAAAGCUCUUUCGGCUGGGAAGAAAUCGCAUCUCCUAAUACGGGGUGUGGAUGACGGUACCAGCAUAAGAAGCACCGGCUAACUACGUG